CAACAAGGCCUUUACUGACGCUAAAGCUCGAAGGUGCGGGUAUCGAACAGGAUUAGAUACCCUGGUAGUCCGCACGGUAAACGAUGGAUGCCCGCUGUUUGCGAUAUACUGUGAGCGGCCAAGAGAAAUCGUUAAGCAUCCCACCUGGGGAGUACGCCGGCAACGGUGAAACUCAAAGGAAUUGACGGGGGCCCGCACAAGCGGAGGAACAUGUGGUUUAAUUCGAUGAUACGCGAGGAACCUUACCCGGGCUUGAACUGCAGGAGAACGAUACAGAGAUGUUGAGGUCCUUCGGGACUCCUGUGGAGGUGCUGCAUGGUUGUCGUCAGCUCGUGCCGUGAGGUGUCGGCUUAAGUGCCAUAACGAGCGCAACCCUUUUCGUCAGUUGCCAUCAGGUGAUGCUGGGCACUCUGGCGAUACUGCCACCGUAAGGUGUGAGGAAGGUGGGGAUGACGUCAAAUCAGCACGGCCCUUACGUCCGGGGCUACACACGUGUUACAAUGGGGAGUACAGAGAGUCAACCGCCGGCAACGUCGGUUUAAUCAAGAGAGCUCUCCUCAGUUCGGAUUGGGGUCUGCAACCCGACCCCAUGAAGCUGGA
rnacentral:rRNA from 1 species